AAGGGAGACCUAAUUCCGGUAGGAGACGAAAAAAAAGUAGUCCCAACCAAGAAUCAAUCCCAAAAGGUCGGAACGAGGUAUGAGGCUUUCAAACUAGGUUCUGGGUUCAUAAAAGACCUGAAUCAGGAACAAGGGCUAUUAGCUCAGGUGGUUAGAGCGCACCCCUGAUAAGGGUGAGGUCCCUGGUUCGAGUCCAGGAUGGCCCACCUGCACAGGUGGCAAAAACAAGAGGAGCUCCGAGUCAGCACCUUAUCUUAUAUACAUAUAUAAGAGAGAAUGCUGGCUCUGAGUACAGAGUCCAGAGGAACCUUGAAAACUGCAUAGAGCUAGGUGAAAAAGCCAAAAAAGAAGACCGCAA
rnacentral:tRNA from 1 species